rnacentral:rRNA from 1 species
UACGGAGGAUCCGAGCGUUAUCCGGAUUUACUGGGUUUAAAGGGUGCGUAGGCGGGCGCCUAAGUCAGCGGUGAAAGGCGGCGGCUCAACCGUCGGAUGGCCGUUGAUACUGGGCGCCUUGGAUGCGGUCGAGGCGGGUGGAAUGCGCGGUGUAGCGGUGAAAUGCUUAGAUAUCGCGCAGAACGCCGAUUGCGAAGGCAGCUCGCCGGGCCGUGAUUGACGCUGAGGCACGACAGCGUGGGGAUCGAACAGG